rnacentral:lncRNA from 1 species
UUUUCAGUUCGCUUCUUCCUUUGAACCCUUUGCUAUCUUCUUCUUAAUAUUCUGGGUGCCAUGGCUGCACGGAUGAUACCUUUGGUAUACCUCCUGUACGACGUCGUAGGAUCGUGAAGAUUUGAUCUCUCUGCCGCUCUGGUAAAGUAUUUUCCUUUUCUUUUCCCCCCCUCCAUUUCUUCGUCUUCAUAUUUUGUUGGGAUCCAUCUGUACAAUUUAUAUUGUGAUAUUUGUUAUUUUGAUUUUAGGGUAUUGUUUUCGGAUGCCAAGUUUUGAUUCAAAACGCUAUUCAGAUCCAGCCUGAAGACUUGUAUCACUGUGACCAGUGAGUAAGAUAAAUGGAGGUUAUUUGAGCUUGUAUGGAAACCAAAAUGCGGUGCUUCCUUAUUAUUAUUUU